rnacentral:lncRNA from 1 species
CAAGUAGCAACACAAGCUAGUUUAAGUGGGGUAUUUAUUGGUAACAUUUUAGAUAACCCAAAAAAUGAGAAUUGCAAAGCCAUUGAGUUGAGAAAUAGAGUGGUUUUAUUAAACCAAAAAACUUAGCAAUGAGAGAGAAGAAAAAAAUUGAGGGUGACAAAAAAAGAAAAAAAAAGGAGGAAUUAGUCGAAAAGAAGGGUAAGGAAAAAUCAAAGAGAGA